rnacentral:antisense_RNA from 1 species
CUUCACGGAGCCCAGCCACAGGGGCCGUUCGCGGUCCUGGCCGUAGGUGGCCAGGAGGGCCUGUGCCUC